rnacentral:rRNA from 1 species
GGAAGGGGUGUAUUUAUUAGAUAAGAGAAACCAACGCCCUUCGGGGCUUCUUGGUGAUUCAUGAUAACUUCACGGAUCGCAUGGCCUUGCGCCGGCGACGGUUCAUUCAAAUUUCUGCCCUAUCAACUUUCGAUGGUAAGGUAUUGGCUUACCAUGGUUUCAACGGGUAACGGGGAAUUAGGGUUCGAUUCCGGAGAGGGAGCUUGAGAAACGGCUACCACAUCCAAGGAAGGCAGCAGGCGCGCAAAUUACCCAAUCCCGACACGGGGAGGUAGUGACAAUAAAUACUGAUACAGGGCUCUUUUGGGUCUUGUAAUUGGAAUGAGUACAAUUUAAACCUCUUAACGAGGAACAAUUGGAGGGCAAGUCUGGUGCCAGCAGCCGCGGUAAAUUCCAGCUCCAAUAGCGUAUAUUAAAGUUGUUGCAGUUAAAAAGCUCGUAGUUGAAACUUGGGCCUGGCUGGCAGGUCCGCCUCACCGCGUGUCACUUGUCCGGCCGGGCCAUUUCCUUCUGGAGAACCUCAUGCCCUUCACUGGGUGUGUGGGGAACCAGGACUUUUACUUUGAAAAAAUUAGAGUGUUCAAAGCAAGGCCUUUGCUCGAANUACGUUAGCCUGGAAUAAUAGAAUAGACGUGCGGAUCCUAUAUUAGUUGGGAUACUAANGAACGC